UUGUGUCUCUCCGCCCGAAGCGUGGUCAUCGUUGCACGAGGGGUACGAAACACGUUGCAGCCGAUAUUAAGUUGCGAGUGGUGACAAAACACGUAGGCAUAGGUUCCUAAGUACCUUAUACUGCAUUCUGAGACCAAUUUCACGCUGACAGCAAGCUCACUCACAGUGUUCUUCAUAGGAAACGACAACAGCGUCGACAGCACUGUAUGUAAGUGUACUACGACAACAGCGUCGACAGCACUGUAUGUAAGUGUACUACGACAACAGCGUCGACAGCACUGUAUGUCGUGAUCUACAACUGGAUGCAGCUCAAGCCAACACUGACAUGUACCAUAUCACUAUAGAUGUUGAGCUGGUCAGCUCGCUGCCCGCCACACAACACAAUGGCAGGGGCAGCUUACAGAAAUAUGUCGGCGCAUGCACCCCCACCCCCCUUCCUCCACCCCCAUCAGUCAACCCUGUUUACAGAAACACAAUGUCUUCCAGGCCCGGCACACAGGCCACCCUCCACUGUAGCGUUGUGCUGGAUGUGGGGAGGGGGAGAUUCGGCUUCAUUGAUCUAGACAGGGAGGUUGUUUCAGCCAAGGUGGAUGUUGAGAGAGGGUCUCUUCUCCCCAUGUUUGGUGUGGGGCUGCCAGUCCCUUCACAGUCAACUUGAAGGUGAUCAGAGGGGUGGACACUAUGACUGACAUCAAGAAGUCACACAUUUAUAACGCACUGACAUAGGAAAUAAAAUAAAAAUGAUUUGUAAAUUUUAUUUAUUUAAACUGUAAAAUGGAAUGUAUUUGUAGUGAUUGAGGCUGACAUAGAAGUUGUCUUUUUAUGUGCUGUUUGUGUACAAGAAUGUGACAAGGUUAGCUAAAUGUGUUUUAGUCCACGAAAUCAUCAAAAGUUUGAAAACAUGAAUUUGUUGACACUAUUCUUCUCUAUUUUUAUUUUUUCAAAUUGUGAAUAUUGUUGUUAGAAUGUACCUGACUUGAGUACAUAAAUGUAACAAAGUUGACCAAAUAUUAAAAAGCGGCAUUUUGAAUCUACACACGUCUAGUUUACCUGCACCAUUGUGUCGAACAUGUCCAUUACAACACUAAGUGAACAAUGAUCUGAACUUAGUUUAAACAUGCCUCACUUGUACCAGUAUAAGGUAUCUAUCGUAUGCAUAAUAAUGAUUUUGUGUAUUCAAAAAGGAUAGCAUAAUAUUCAUAUAAAGCAUUUUCA